UACGUAGGGUGCAAGCGUUAAUCGGAAUUACUGGGCGUAAAGCGUGCGCAGGCGGUUUUGCAAAACAGAUGUGAAAUCCCCGGGCUCAACCUGGGAACUGCAUUUGUGACUGCAUGGCUAGAGUACGGUAGAGGGGGAUGGAAUUCCGCGUGUAGCAGUGAAAUGCGUAGAUAUGCGGAGGAACACCGAUGGCGAAGGCAAUCCCCUGGACCUGUACUGACGCUCAUGCACGAAAGCGUGGGGAGCAAACAGG
rnacentral:rRNA from 1 species